AUGCCACUGAUCGGUAACGGAUGCAGGGCUGUGUAGGUUGGAUAUUAGUAUACUUCACACCCUUUUCUCCAUCCUUUUCGUAUUUACUAUAUUUCUUAUAUUGUUGUUAUUUUGGUAUUUUAUAUUAUUUAUUUUAUGAUAUUUAUUAUGACUCUAUUGAUAGUACUAAUAUAUUGUCUCUUGUUGCUCUCUUGAACCGAGGGUUUCCUGGAAAUAGCCUUUCUGCCUCUCGGGGUAGGGGUAAAGUCUGCGUACAUACUACCCUCCCCAGACCCCACUGAUGGGAUUAUACUGGGAUGUUGUUGUUGUUGUUGUAAGAAAAGAACAAUGCUUUGCGUAUGAACCUUUUGACCUUCAACAAGUGAAGUGAAUCGUUCACUUUGCUCUUGCCUAAUGCCCAACAACAACAACCACCAUGCUUCAGUCCUGAAUUGGGGCUAAUGUCCUGCAUAAGAAAAUUAAUUGAAUUAUUAUGUGCUUGUUAUGAUGUUUGUGAUGGUUUUUCUUUUGGGGGGUGGGGGUGGGGGUGGGGUGUUGAGUGGAGAAGUUCAAGAAAUGGUGGGUAAUGGCCUGGAUGCUAACUACAAUGGUUUUACCUUUCUGCAGGAAAUAUAAUUUCUUGGCAAUAAUGGGGCUGAUGAUAUGCUCAAUAUCUUGUGGAGUUAAUCUCCUUAUGUCCUGAAUAAUAGUCUCACAUCGGAGCUGUUCCUAGUAAUUCCCUUUAUUUCCAGUAAAGGCUGUCUUUUGUGUAUUUCCCUGUCGCAUUUUGAUGUUGCCGUUUGGUUUAGUUCUCUUGUUUUCCUGGUUGCUGCCAGUUUCCAGCUCUUGUAAUGUGAUCUAGGUCUUUUAAGUUGGACCUCCUUGUGGAAUUCUGUUAAUAAUAUGAGUUAAUUGGUACUCUGUAUCAAGAUAUAUCAUCUGUGUACUGUUUCAGUGUUUGUGAUUUUGGUUGCAGUGAAUUUGUAAUGAUUUGGCAGGAAAGUUAGCUAGUAUAUUUGACCUGAUUGAAAGUUUAA
rnacentral:lncRNA from 1 species